GCGGCGCACCGUACGCACGGGUUUUCCUUGCGUUGCGUGUGGCAAUUUUCUCCUUUUUUUCCACCCCGUAUCACCCCCCCGCAACCGCCUGACCACGUGAAUCCAAGGGAAAAAAUGGGACAGUGAAAAACCGCGAGUCGGUCAAAUCCGCGGGAAAUUUUUCAACCGAGAUUGAUAAAAAUCGUGGCGAACGGGAUAAGACAGCACAAAAAGAAAAUUCAAAGUUGCGAGAAUUUCCUACGAUCUGCUUGAGUGGAAAUCCGAUAUAUUUGCACCGUUCCCGAUGAUUCAAUUAAAUACCGGGGGCCUGACGGAGUGAGAAAACGUCGACAGACGGAGUAAAACACGAGAGGAAAAAGAAACAACGGGAAAGAGAGAAAUAUAAAAAGGAAUAAAAAAAAGCGGGAGAGGAACAAAGGGAAACGGAAGGAAGAGGGACUGGUGUUCCGAGGCGAUGAGGAGCCAAGAAAUUCUUGGAAUUCCAGGGUGACAUUUCCGCUCGGUGGAAUUCAACUUGGCAAUGGGAUAUACCUUCUAUUGAAUUGUAUUGACGACGAAACAAUUAUGUCGGACAUUCAAUACAUAAGAUAUCCCACUCUGCAGCAAUCGAGUGACGAAUUCAAUGCGCCUACAGGACACGUGAACAAGAUGUGGAGUAAUCCAGGAAAUACGUAGGACUGAUCAAUAACGAUGACACGACGCUGAGCGAGAUGAAAGGAGAAAUGAGCAAUUGAGAAUAUCCAAGGAACAGGGAAAAUCUUUUCUAUUUGUUUUGAAGAGGGGGAGAGAGAGUAAUCCACGGUCAGUGUCACUUGGAUAGUCACACUGAGAGCAUUAAUACCCCAGCCACCCACUCACAACCAUCAAAUUCAAGGAGAGCCAGUCAUAUGUGUUCUACAACUACUUUUAAUCCACUUUACACUGACAACUUGAUGACUGCCCAACAGUGAGGGAUUUUUCUCGGAUGGAAAAAGUGCUGGAGAACUUUCAGACUCUCAAAAAAUUUAUCCUGUGAUUUAGUGAAAGUGUUCAGUGAGUUUUUACGGAGUGUUCAUUGUGCUUGUGCUUUUUAUUUUGUGGAACUAUUGAGAUACGAUGCUGAGAUACUUGCUGGUACUUGGGGUGUUGUCCUCUACCUGGGCCAAACCUCACUCCUUGCUGUAUGCUGAUGAC